UACAGAGGGUGCGAGCGUUAAUCGGAAUUACUGGGCGUAAAGCGCACGUAGUCGGCUUUGCAAGUCGGGUGUGAAAUCCCCGGGCUCAACCUGGGAACUGCAUUUGUGACUGCAUCGCUGGAGUGCGGCAGAGGGGGAUGGAAUUCCGCGUGUAGCAGUGAAAUGCGUAGAUAUGCGGAGGAACACCGAUGGCGAAGGCAAUCCCCUGGGCCUGCACUGACGCUCAUGCACGAAAGCGUGGGGAGCAAACAGG
rnacentral:rRNA from 1 species